rnacentral:tRNA from 1 species
GAAAUAUGAAGGUUCAAAAAAAAGCUUCUAACUUUUUAUUUUAACGAUUAAAUUUCGUUUAUAUUUCU